rnacentral:rRNA from 1 species
GACGAACGCUGGCGGCGUGCCUAACACAUGCAAGUCGAACGAGUCUACCCUGUUUUUUGCGGGCUGGCGCUAUCGCCAGACGGGUGAUUAACCCGUGGUUAACUGCCCCUCACUUCUGGAUUACCUCCGGGAAGCGGGGCUAAAUCCCGGAUAUCAUGUUGAGCCGCAUGGUUCAGCAGUGAAAGACGCUUUUGCUGGCAGUUUUAGAUGGAGCCGCGCCGCAUUAGCAAGUGGGUGAGGUAACGGCUUACCAAGGCAACGUUGCGUAGCCGACCUGAGCGGGGGAUCGGCCACACUGCAACUGAGACACGGUCCAGACUCCUACGGGAGGCAGCAGUAGGGAAUCUUCCGCAAUGGGCGAAAGCCUGACGGCGCAACGCCGCGUGAGUGAUGAAGGUCUUCGGAUCGUAAAACUCUGUUAUUAGGGAAGAACAAAUGUGUAAGUAACUAUGCACGUCUGGACGGUACCUAAUCAGAAAGCCACGGCUAACUACGUG